AUUGAACGCUGGCGGCAGGCCUAACACAUGCAAGUCGAGCGAGCGGCGGACGGGUGAGUAAUGUCUGGGAAACUGCCCGAUGGGGGGGGAUAACUAUUGGAAACGGUAGCUAAUACCGCAUACCAUCAGAUGUGCCCCGAUGGGAUUAGCUAGUAGGUGGGGUAACGGCUCACCUAGGCGACGAUCCCUAGCUGGUCUGAGAGGAUGACCAGCCACACUGGAACUGAGACACGGUCCAGACUCCUACGGGAGGCAGCAGUGGGGAAUAUUGCACAAUGGGCGCAAGCCUGAUGCAGCCAUGCCGCGUGUGUGAAGAAGGCCUUCGGGUUGUAAAGCACUUUCAGCGGGGAGGCGUUACCCGCAGAAGAAGCACCGGCUAACUCCGUGCCAGCAGCCGCGGUAAUAC
rnacentral:rRNA from 1 species